CAUCCAUUCAUUUUCACACUAGGAUGUGCAUUUAUAUAAACAUGGCCUUUGAGAUGGUAAAAUGAAACAGAGAAUAUAUUUUCCUUAAUGGAGAAAAAAGAGGAAAAAUGACUGGAAAAGGUUUUUGCUGCUUCUGCUAAAAUUGCUCCAAGAUGCCAGCAUUCAAUCAAGACAUGAAAUUUACUUUCCGAGUCAGAGACCUGUGAAAUUUGAAUCAAAUUCUUCAAAAGUGUCAUUCUGGGUAAAUAUUCAUGAAACAUACCUGAAGAAACUAUCGUCACUCCUUCAGGAGUUUCAUCAGCAAGAGAAGGUGUUUCACUGCAGAAGUUUUCUU
rnacentral:lncRNA from 1 species